AUGUGUAGUGAGAAGUAUCUCCAUACCAUACACCCCCAACACAUACAGGUGGAUAAACGAGCAAAAUCCCGGGGAUGGAGUCGAAGGAACGGAUUGUGGUCUGCUUUUUGGUAUUCCGGGAUCUCAUUUAGUUUCUAAUUCAUGAGAUCAGUGGGCUUGGCUUCUUGAUGAUUCGGCAUCGGAGAUGGCUGAGCUUAUUUUUGUGGUGUGGAUUUUCGCAAGCGGUUUGGGUGGUAGUGGCACAAUGGUGUAACCUCCCUCCCAUUUUCGCCUUCAACAUCAAUGACCUGUUGGACUUGAAUGUUUACGCCAAUGGGUCGUUUAAAUACAAGAAGGGGUUGCAUGUUGCGUGUUUAACGACUUUUUGGUGUCUGUGGAAAGCUCGGAACGUUGUGUUUGUACAAGUCCCGUGCUCGGUUCAGAAAACAGUAGAAGACAUCAAUGCUCUGAGUUUUAUGUGGCUCUGGCACAUGUCUAAGCAGCCAAACAUCAGCUGGG
rnacentral:lncRNA from 1 species